rnacentral:rRNA from 1 species
AGCGAACGCUGGCGGCAUGCCUAACACAUGCAAGUCGCACGGGGGGGCUUCGGCCUCCCAGUGGCGGACGGGUGAGGAACGCGUAGGGACCUGUCGAGGGGUGGGGGAUAACCGCGGGAAACUGCGGCUAAUACCGCAUGACGCCGCGGCGUGACAGCCGGGGCCAAAGGCGAAAGCCGCCCGCCGAGGGGCCUGCGUCCGAUUAGCUGGUUGGCGGGGUAGCGGCCCACCAAGGCGUCGAUCGGUAGCUGGUCUGCGAGGGUGAUCAGCCACACCGGGACUGAGACACGGCCCGGACUCCUACGGGAGGCAGCAGUGGGGAAUAUUGGACAAUGGGCGCAAGCCUGAUCCAGCAAUGCCGCGUGGGUGAAGAAGGUCUUCGGAUUGUAAAGCCCUUUCGGCGGGGACGAUGGUGACGGUACCCGCAGAAGAAGCCCCGGCUAACUUCGUG